GACGAACGCUGGCGGCGUGCUUAACACAUGCAAGUCGAACGAUGAUGCCAGCUUGCUGGUGGAUUAGUGGCGAACGGGUGCGUAACACGUUAGCAACCUGCCCCUGACUUCGGGAUAACCGCGGGAAACCGUGGCUAAUACCGGAUAUGACGCGCUAUCGCAUGGUGGUGUGUGGAAAGAUUUAUCGGUUGGGGAUGGGCUCGCGGCCUAUCAGCUUGUUGGUGGGGUGAUGGCCUACCAAGGCGACGACGGGUAGCCGGCCUGAGAGGGUGACCGGCCACACUGGGACUGAGACACGGCCCAGACUCCUACGGGAGGCAGCAGUGGGGAAUAUGGCACAAUGGGCGCAAGCCUGAUGCAGCGACGCCGCGUGAGGGAUGACGGCCUUCGGGUUGUAAACCUCUUUCAGUAGGGAAGAAGGCCUUCGGGUUGACGGUACCUGCAGAAGAAGCGCCGGCUAACUACGUG
rnacentral:rRNA from 1 species